rnacentral:rRNA from 1 species
AUACGAAGGGUGCAAGCGUUAAUCGGAAUUACUGGGCGUAAAGCGCGCGUAGGUGGUUCGUUAAGUUGGAUGUGAAAGCCCCGGGCUCAACCUGGGAACUGCAUCCAAAACUGGCGAGCUAGAGUAUAGCAGAGGGUGGUGGAAUUUCCUGUGUAGCGGUGAAAUGCGUAGAUAUAGGAAGGAACACCAGUGGCGAAGGCGACCACCUGGGCUAAUACUGACACUGAGGUGCGAAAGGGUGGGGAGCAAACAGGAUUAGAUACCCUGGUAGUCCACGCCGUAAACGAUGUCGACUAGCCGUUGGGAUCCUUGAGAUCUUAGUGGCGCAGCUAACGCAUUAAGUCGACCGCCUGGGGAGUACGGCCGCAAGGUUAAAACUCAAAUGAAUUGGCGGGG